rnacentral:rRNA from 1 species
AAUAUGGAGAGUUUGAUCCUGGCUCAGAAUGAACGCUGGCGGUAUGCCUAACACAUGCAAGUCGAACGGUUCCUUCGGGAAUAGUGGCGGACGGGUGAGUAACGCGUGAGAAUCUGCCUUCAGGAUGGGGACAACAGCGGGAAACUGCUGCUAAUACCCAAUGUGCCUAUUGGUGAAAGUAAUUCGCCUGAAGAGGAGCUCGCGUCUGAUUAGCUAGUUGGUGGAGUAAAAGCCUACCAAGGCGACGAUCAGUAGCUGGUCUGAGAGGAUGAGCAGCCACACUGGGACUGAGACACGGCCCAGACUCCUACGGGAGGCAGCAGUGGGG